rnacentral:rRNA from 1 species
AUUGAACGCUGGCGGCAUGCCUAACACAUGCAAGUCGAACGGCAGCACGGGAGCUUGCUCCUGGUGGCGAGUGGCGGACGGGUGAGUAAUGCAUAGGAAUCUGCCCAGUAGCGGGGGACAACUUGGGGAAACUCAAGCUAAUACCGCAUGCGCCCUACGGGGGAAAGCGGGGGACCUUCGGGCCUCGCACUAUUGGAUGAGCCUAUGUCAGAUUAGCUUGUUGGUGAGGUAACGGCCUACCAAGGCGACGAUCUGUAGCUGGUCUGAGAGGACGAUCAGCCACACUGGGACUGAGACACGGCCCAGACUCCUACGGGAGGCAGCAGUGGGGAAUCUUAGACAAUGGGCGCAAGCCUGAUCUAGCCAUGCCGCGUGGACGAUGAAGGCCUUAGGGUUGUAAAGUCCUUUCAGAUGGGAAGAUAAUGACGGUACCAUCAGAAGAAGCCCCGGCUAACUCCGUGCCAGCAGCCGCGGUAAAGUAGACG